rnacentral:rRNA from 1 species
GGGCCCGCACAAGCGGUGGAGCAUGUGGUUUAAUUCGAUGAUACGCGAGGAACCUUACCAGGGCUUAAAUGUUAGGUGACAGAUCUAGAAAUAGAUUUUUCUUCGGACACUUUAACAAGGUGCUGCAUGGUUGUCGUCAGCUCGUGCCGUGAGGUGUCAGGUUAAGUCCUAUAACGAGCGCAACCCCUGUUGUUAGUUGCCAGCGAGUAAUGUCGGGAACUCUAGCAAGACUGCCAGUGCAAACUGUGAGGAAGGUGGGGAUGACGUCAAAUCAUCACGGCCCUUACGUCCUGGCCUACACACGUGCUACAAUGGUAGGUACAGAGAGCAGCCACUACGCGAGUAGGAG